rnacentral:lncRNA from 1 species
GCUGCAAUAGCACUUGCGCUAGUUGGAGUGGAUGGACUCCUGGGGGAUGGAGGCUCAGACUGUCAACAACAUUAUCACAUUAGCUUAGUGUGAAAUUGAAGCAUCUAAGAAAAUCACUUAAAUAGAACAGGUAUCAUAUCAUUUUUAGAUAUGAAAACACUGUAAAUAUAAGUACAAAAAUUGAUUGUAAAUUUUAGAUUCAUAUGUCUUUUGAUCUUUUCCUCAUUUUUAUUCUGAAAGUGAAAUAAUUGAAUUGACAAGUGACAUAUGUAUCUAACCUGAUGCAAAAUCCAUACAACAAUUCCAGCAAACUCAACUAUUCCGAUGUAUCUAUCAAUCCAAGUAGCAUCUUCAGGUGCAUCAACAUCCACAACAGGUGCACUCAGAAUAUUGUGACGUGCUAGUAUUUUCACAGCUUCAGCCAAGGUAGCAUCUGAUUUUAUUUCAAUUUCUAUACAAGCAAACAUAAAAUUCACACUUUUAGAACAAACCCAAUAAAAACACACCACAAAAAAAUUAUAACACACACACACAAUAACACAUCAAUUGGUCACACAUGCAUGUUUGGUACCAUAGUUGGUUGGUUUGUCAGAAUCACGGUGAACCACCAUGAUUCUGAUAUACUAUCGUGAUACCAAACAUGCACAUAAAUUUUCAUCUGGGUGUGAUCAAAAUCACUUUUUCUUUUAUUCAAUCAAAAUCAGACACAUACAUACAUAGACACUAAACUACCUUGGUUUUUAGCAGGCAAAGGAAAAGCAGAAACAGGUAUGCUUUCAAAACAAGCAUUAAGUUUGUCAUUAGGACUUAAUUGUGCCUCUUGAACAUCCCAUAGAUCUUCAACUCUCAUCCCAAGUUUGGCUUCAGGGCUCCUUGGCAUCUCUCUCAUUGUAGCCAUUGCCAUUACUCCCUCUUCUUUUCUCUCUCUGUGUAACUGCAUGAUGAAUUGAUGAUGAUGACAAUAUUAUAAGAUCUCUAUGUUUUUGUCUUUUUCUCUUUACUACUCCCAACACAUUGUUCCAUAAUAAUAAACUGAAAAAUGGGAUCUAAAAUCUACUAAAACAUUUGAAACUAGUGUCCUACACUACACCUGAAUUAUUCACCUUUGAUUUUCAUAUUUUGGUUAUAUUAAGGAAGCGUGUACGGUUAUGAUGAUGUAACAUGUUGUGUUUGAUUUUACUACAGUGGUCAACGUGAAUGGUUACGUGCUCCAUACUAUUCGGUAUACUUAUCCAAAUUUGUAAUUUCAUUAUGGAAACACAUUCUUAU